GAUCAUCUCAAGUGUAGCUUGGUUGGGAGAAUGCAGGAGGAAAAGAGAUGAAGUAGGAUACCCGAAUAACUGUUUUGGGCUAAACUGAAUGGAGCGUGCACAAGCAGAGAAGGUGCUUGGAAUUAUAAAAAGAAGAUAUAAAUUGAAGUCCAUCCUUAUCUGUAAGGAUCCUACAGCCUGGGCAGGAAGACAACUAACAAUUAAUCAAUAAAGGUAUAAUACCAAUGUAGAA